rnacentral:rRNA from 1 species
CGCGAAUGGCUCAUUACAACAGCUAUAAUUCACUUGAUCUUGACACAAUCCUACUUGGAUAACUGUGGUAAUUCUAGAGCUAAUACAUGCAUUAAAGCUCUGACCUCACGGGAAGAGUGCAUUUAUUAGAACAAAACCAAGCGGCUUCGGCUGUUUUCGGUUGACUCAUAGUAACUGAGCUGAUCGCAUGGUCUUGCACCGGCGACGUGUCUUUCAAGUAUCUGCCGUAUCAACUUUCGAUGGUAGUGUAUCUGACUACCAUGGUGAUCACGCGUACCGGAGAAUAAGGGUUCGACUCCGGAGAGUUCGCCUGAGAAAUCGCGAACACAUCUAAGGAAGGCAGCAGGCGCGAAAAUUACCCACUCUCAGCACGAGGAGGUAGUGACGAAAAAUAACGAGACCGUUCUCUUAUGAGGCCGGUCAUCGGAAUGGGUACAAUUUAAACCCUUUAACGAGUAUCUAUGAGAGGGCAAGUCUGGUGCCAGCAGCCGCGGUAAUUCCAGCU